AUGAGCAUUAAAAAGGUCUUGAAACAAAAAGGAGGGCUGUCUCCCACUGCAAUGACGUCGGAUGACCUUGUGCGUGGCAGGGCCCCGGCUCAAUCUCAUCCCCUUGUUCUGGGGAAGCGGUAGCAAGACCGCAAAUGUAUCCCUGCUGGAGCGCUGUGAAAUAUAUUCCGUGGGAGCCAGGUGGACAGAAACCAACACAAACGAAGAGAAGAGGGACGAUUAUUCCACAAUAGCCAGCAUCAACCAAGCAGACCUGUUCUCAGAACACUCCUUGCAAGUUCCAACAUGCUCUAAUUAUAACAGAUGAGUAACA